rnacentral:rRNA from 1 species
UACGAAGGGGGCUAGCGUUGUUCGGAGUUACUGGGCGUAAAGGGCGCGUAGGCGGCGCACCAAGUCAGGCGUGAAAGCCCUGGGCUCAACCCGGGAAUUGCGCUUGAGACUGGUGUGCUUGAGUACGGGAGAGGAUAGUGGAAUUCCCAGUGUAGAGGUGAAAUUCGUAGAUAUUGGGAAGAACACCAGUGGCGAAGGCGGCUAUCUGGACCGUAACUGACGCUGAGGCGCGAAAGCGUGGGGAGCAAACAGG